AACGAACGCUGGCGGCAUGCCUAACACAUGCAAGUCGAACGAGACCUUCGGGCCUAGUGGCGCCCGGGUGCGUAACGCGUGGGAACCUGCCCUUAGGUUCGGAAUAACUCCCCGAAAGGGGUGCUAAUACCGGAUAAUGUCUUCGGCCCAAAGAUUUAUCGCCUUUGGAUGGGCCCGCGUUGGAUUAGCUAGUUGGUAGGGUAAAAGCCUACCAAGGCGACGAUCCAUAGCUGGUCUGAGAGGAUGAUCAGCCACACUGGGACUGAGACACGGCCCAGACUCCUACGGGAGGCAGCAGUGGGGAAUAUUGGACAAUGGGCGAAAGCCUGAUCCAGCAAUGCCGCGUGAGUGAUGAAGGCCUUAGGGUUGUAAAGCUCUUUUACCCGGGAUGAUAAUGACAGUACCGGGAGAAUAAGCUCCGGCUAACUCCGUG
rnacentral:rRNA from 1 species